rnacentral:rRNA from 1 species
ACAACUUUCAACAAUGGAUCUCUUGGCUCUCGCAUCGAUGAAGAACGCAGCAAAAUGCGAUAAGUAAUGUGAAUUGCAGAUUUUCAGUGAAUCAUUGAAUCUUUGAACACACCUUGCGCUCCUUGGUAUUCUGAGGAGCAUGCCUGUUUGAGUGUCAUUAAAUCCUCAACCCCGUCGGUCAGUCGG